rnacentral:lncRNA from 1 species
AUGCACAAUCUGAAACUAAGGUUGAGCUGUUUUUUUUUUUUUAUCUAUGGUUUAUGGUGUGACAGCUUUGUCUUCUACGUUAAUCCAAACGUGGGGCCAGCAUGGAAUCAUCAUCUCUCUGGGCGGCAGAGGACAAAACGCACCAAAAAUGCAAUCUUUUCUCGCACCAGGCUGCUCAUACUUGGCACAGAUUUGCAGAGAGCUGGUCAACAUGUGCAAAAGCUGAGGAUAAAACACCUUAUUUUGUUUCUGUCACUUUUACGUUGACAUUAUCUGAACUAGUUCUGGAAAUUGUGAAAGCUGUGAAAGGAAAUGAAUACACCAAGACAUCUUGUUCAUCUUUUGAAGCCUGAUGCUGGAAAUUCAGGAUAGAUCUGGAAGGAUGUAAGGGAAAAAUUAUGGACCAAAGGCUUCUCUGUGCCCGUCCUUUUAUUGGCCCUAAGCUGCUCAUUUGCAUUAAAGGGAAUGUCUGCAUGCUGCAUGGACACUGAGGGAAAAUGAGAUGUUUCUAUAAUUCUUGAGAAGAGUCCUGCCACAUAUAACGUUCAGCUUUCUCACUGUCAGACAAUCGCACAUGAUGCAUUUUCUACCCCUGCCUCAGAACAAAAAAGCUCUCGCUAAAGAGAAGUUAAUGCGAUGGUUUCUUUGUAAAGUCAUUCCACAAAACCAAGUUAAUGUUUGGUUCCCUUUAGAUUAAUGUGCUUAAUGUUUUUGCCACUAGGCCAUUCUUGAUAGACUGAGAAUAAGGAAAAGACAAUCGUCGGGACACAUUAGAUCAGAGACCAACGACUUUUCAGUUGGAAUUUCUGUCACUGCUGUCACAUUAAAGAUCAUUUUUACCGCGAGCCUUAUGGCUAAUAGUGUUGUAUCAUUUGGAGGAAUCUUAAAUCGGGAUUCUAGCAGAUGUUGAUGCUUGAGGUCGAUCUAAAGUCGGGUGAAGCAGCUCUGCUUGACUUUUAGGUGGAUUGUUUGCAGAUGACAGAUCUGAAUGUGUCUCUGUGAGAGCUGGAUUUGGACCGUGCUUGCCUCCAUGUCCUCUCUCUUGCCAAUUCAAUGCCAGAAAGGCAUGAUGUGGUGGUUGUCGAUCAGGCUGUUCAGACUGCAUGGCCUCACUCAUUCACAGCUUUUUUUUUUAAUCUCAUCUUCUCUUGUUCAUCUUUUGUUCAUCACAGCUUUUCAUCACAGAGCCAGACGUGCCUUGUUUGUUAGUUUUAGCUUUUCGAUUCUCACAUUUCUUCUCUGACAGUAGAACAGAUGAUGAAACAGUGGAAGACACCGACAUAGUUUUCUUUGACAUUGCCAAUGUCGUUGCUAAAUACGCACGUACACACUGGAGAUCAUAUUUUUUGAGCGUUGAUUGACUUUCUUUGUUUUCUUGUAUUAAAGAACAAUUAUCAUUUUGUAUGCUUUCUUGGAAACAAAUUGACGUUUUACAAUUCAUGUCCUGUCAAAUAAAAUGUACAUCAAAAGACAAAAGCCCCUGUUGGUUUGGGUUUUUUCCUUAUGCAUCAAAAGUCC